rnacentral:tRNA from 1 species
GGGUGGGUGGCUGAGUGGUUAGAGCCUAGGUCUUUGGAGCGAAAUGUCCCGGGAUCGAAUCUCGCCAGAGACA